AUUGAACGCUGGCGGCAGGCCUAACACAUGCAAGUCGAGCGGAUGAAGGGAGCUUGCUCCUGGAUUCAGCGGCGGACGGGUGAGUAAUGCCUAGGAAUCUGCCUGGUAGUGGGGGAUAACGUCCGGAAACGGGCGCUAAUACCGCAUACGUCCUGAGGGAGAAAGUGGGGGAUCUUCGGACCUCACGCUAUCAGAUGACCCUUGGUCGGAUUAGCUAGUUGGUGGGGUAAAGGCCUACCAAGGCGACGAUCCGUAACCUCUCUGAGAGGAUGAUCAGUCACACCUGAACUGGGACACGGUCCAGACUCCCACGGGAGGCAGCAGGUGGGAAUUUUUGGCAAUUGGCGGAAGCCUUACUCAGCCCAUGCGCGUGAUUUAAGAAAGUUUUCCGAUUGUUAAAGCCCUUUAUGUUGGAAGAAAGGGCGGUAAAUUAAUACCUCGCUUUUUUACGGUUCCCAACCGAAAAGCCACGGCCAACUUCGUU
rnacentral:rRNA from 1 species